GCCCCGUUAGCUCAGUCGGUAGAGCAUCAGGCUUUUAACCUGAGGGCCGUGGGUUCGAAAACCCCACGGAGGUA